AGCAGUAGCCGCGGGAAUACAGAGGGUGCGAGCGUUAAUCUGAUUUACUGGGCGUAAAGCGUGCGUAGGCGGCUUCUUAAGUCGGAUGUGAAAUCCCUGAGCUUAACUUAGGAAUUGCAUUCGAUACUGGGAAGCUAGAGUAUGGGAGAGGAUGGUAGAAUUCCAGGUGUAGCGGUGAAAUGCGUAGAGAUCUGGAGGAAUACCGAUGGCGAAGGCAGCCAUCUGGCCUAAUACUGACGCUGAGGUACGAAAGCAUGGGGAGCAAACAGGAUUAGAUACCCCGGUAGUCCCUGUCUCUUAUAC
rnacentral:rRNA from 1 species